UGUUACGGAUUUCCAGAAUGCCCCAUAAUUGGUGGAUUGCUCUGGGAUGCGGCAUGCGUGUUAAUAGCCAUAGCGUUUGUUAAGCCGUCGAUCUCCUUUCUUGGCCACAAUUUAUCGGGACUUUGAUUGCGUAUUAGAAAAAUAUCUGACAUGAGUUCUGGGAAAUUGGUUUAGUCUAGCACUGCAAAAUGACACGCGCUUUCGAACAAUCGAAACAAUCCUGGGGCCAUUGGAAUGUUUUCAAAGGACAUGCAAUGCGGGUAUCUCUUCAUGGAUUGUGGGAGAAUAUUUGUAAAUUUGAUGUAAUCCAACGCCUUAAUUUCUACAAAACACAAAGCAAAUGCAAAUAAUAUGCACGAGAAAGUAUUUACACGAAAUUUCGAGCAUGGAUAUCCAAAAACAAAUUAAACGUGGGAAAAUAUGAAAAU
rnacentral:lncRNA from 1 species